rnacentral:rRNA from 1 species
GUGGCGCACGGGUGAGUAACGCGUGGAUAAUCUGCCCGAGGAUUUGGGAUAACAUCUCGAAAGGGGUGCUAAUACCGAAUAAGCCCACGGGGUCUACGGAUCUUGCGGGAAAAGGGGGGGACCUUCGGGCCUCCUGUCCUUGGAUGAGUCUGCGUACCAUUAGCUAGUUGGUGGGGUAAUGGCCUACCAAGGCGACGAUGGUUAGCUGGUCUGAGAGGAUGAUCAGCCACACUGGAACUGAGACACGGUCCAGACUCCUACGGGAGGCAGCAGUGGGGAAUUUUGCGCAAUGGGGGAAACCCUGACGCAGCAACGCCGCGUGGGUGAUGAAGGCCUUCGGGUCGUAAAGCUCUGUCUGGAGGGAAGAAAUGAUUGGGAGCUAAUACCUCUUGAUCUUGACGGUACCUCUGAAGGAAGCACCGGCUAACUCCGUGCCAGCAGCCGCGG